AUUGAACGCUGGCGGCAGGCCUAACACAUGCAAGUCGAGCGGAUGAAGGGAGCUUGCUCCUGGAUUUAGCGGCGGACGGGUGAGUAAUGCCUAGGAAUCUGCCUGGUAGUGGGGGAUAACGUCCGGAAACGGGCGCUAAUACCGCAUACGUCCUGAGGGAGAAAGUGGGGGAUCUUCGGACCUCACGCUAUCAGAUGAGCCUAGGUCGGAUUAGCUAGUUGGUGGGGUAAAGGCCUACCAAGGCGACGAUCCGUAACUGGUCUGAGAGGAUGAUCAGUCACACUGGAACUGAGACACGGUCCAGGCUCCUACGGGAGGCAGCAGUGGGGAAUAUUGGACAAUGGGCGAAAGCCUGAUCCAGCCAUGCCGCGUGUGUGAAGAAGGUCUUCGGAUUGUAAAGCACUUUAAGUUGGGAGGAAGGGCAGUAAGUUAAUACCUUGCUGUUUUGACGGUACCAACAGAAUAAGCACCGGCUAACUUCGUG
rnacentral:rRNA from 1 species